CCUACGGGAGUCAGCAGUGAGGAAUAUUGGUCAAUGGACGAGAGUCUGAACCAGCCAAGUAGCGUGAAGGAUGACUGCCCUAUGGGUUGUAAACUUCUUUUAUAAAGGAAUAAAACGAGGCACGUGUGCCUUUUUCCAUGUACUUUAUGAUUAAGGAUCGGCUAACUCCGUGCAAGCAGCCGCGGUAAUACGGAGGAUCCGAGCGUUAUCCGGAUUUAUUGGGUUUAAAGGGAGCGUAGAUGGGUUGUUAAGUCAGUUGUGAAAGUUUGCGGCUCAACCGUAAAAUUGCAAUUGAUACUGGCAGUCUUGAGUACAGUUGAGGUAGGCGGAAUUCGUGGUGUAGCGGUGAAAUGCUUAGAUAUCACGAAGAACCCCGAUUGCGAAGGCAGCUUACUAAACUGUGACUGACAUUGAUGCUCGAAAGUGUGGGUAUCAAACAGGAUUAGAUACCCUUGUAGUC
rnacentral:rRNA from 1 species